rnacentral:rRNA from 1 species
GUGGCGCACGGGUGAGUAACACGUGAAUCACAUGCCCUUCAGUGGGGGAUAGCCCAGGGAAACUUGGAUUAAUACCCCAUGGUCUCGCGAGAGUAAAGGCGGCUUCGGCUGUCGCUGAAGGAUUGGUUCGCGCCCUAUCAGCUUGUUGGCGGGGUAACGGCCCACCAAGGCUACGACGGGUACCUGGUUUGAGAGGACGAUCAGGCACACUGGAACUGAGACACGGUCCAGACACCUACGGGUGGCAGCAGUCGAGAAUAAUUCACAAUGGGGGCAACCCUGAUGGUGCAACGCCGCGUGGAGGAUGAAGGUCUUCGGAUUGUAAACUCCUGUCAUCCGGGAGUAAGACCUGGCGGUUAACAGCCGACAGGGUUGAUAGUACCGGAAGAGGAAGGGACGGCUAACUUCGUGCCAGCAGCCGCGGUAAUACGAAGGUCCCGAGCGUUGUUCGGAAUCACUGGGCGUAAAGGGAGCGUAGGCGGUGCGGUAAGUCAGAUGUGAAAUCCCGGGGCUCAACCCCGGAACUGCAUCCGAUACUGCCGUGCUAGAGCAAUGGAGGGGUAGCCGGAAUUCUCGGUGUAGCAGUGAAAUGCGUGGAUAUCGAGAGGAACACUCGUGGCGAAGGCGGGCUACUGGACAUUUGCUGACGCUGAGGCUCGAAGGCCGGGGGAGCGAAAGGGAUUAGAUACCCCUGUAGUCCCGGCAGUAAACGGUGUGCGCUUGGUGUGAGAGGAUUCGACCCCCCUCGUGCCGGAGCCAACGCGUUAAGCGCACCGCCUGGGAAGUACGGUCGCAAGACUAAAACUCAAAGAAAUUGACGGGGACCCGCACAAGCGGUGGAGUAUGUGGCUUAAUUCGAUGCAACGCGAAGAACCUUACCUGGGCUUGACAUGCAUCUCUAAGCGCGUGAAAGCGCGUGAC